AACGAACGCUGGCGGCAGGCUUAACACAUGCAAGUCGAGCGCGUAGUAAUACGAGCGGCAGACGGGUGAGUAACGCGUGGGAAUCUACCGUACCCUAUGGAAUAGCUCCGGGAAACUGGAAGUAAUACCAUAUACGCCCGAAAGGGGAAAGAUUUAUCGGGGUAUGAUGAGCCCGCGUUGGAUUAGCUAGUUGGUGGGGUAAAGGCCUACCAAGGCGACGAUGCAUAGCUGGUCUGAGAGGAUGAUCAGCCACAUUGGGACUGAGACACGGCCCAAACUCCUACGGGAGGCAGCAGUGGGGAAUAUUGGACAAUGGGCGCAAGCCUGAUCCAGCCAUGCCGCGUGAGUGAUGAAGGUCUUAGGAUUGUAAAGCUCUUUCACCGAUGAAGAUAAUGACGGUAGUCGGAGAAGAAGCCCCGGCAAACUUCGUGCCAGCCGCCGCAGUAA
rnacentral:rRNA from 1 species